ensembl:snRNA U6 U6 spliceosomal RNA
CCACUUUGGCAGCACAUAUACUAAAAAUUAAAAUGAUAAAGAGAUGAUUUGCAUAGUUCCUGUGAGUGGAUGACAUGCAAAUUUGUAAAGCAUUUCAUAUUUUU